AGUGAACGCUGGCGGUAGGCCUAACACAUGCAAGUCGAACGGCAGCACAGUAAGAGCUUGCUCUUACGGGUGGCGAGUGGCGGACGGGUGAGGAAUACAUCGGAAUCUACUUUUUCGUGGGGGAUAACGUAGGGAAACUUACGCUAAUACCGCAUACGACCUACGGGUGAAAGCAGGGGAUCUUCGGACCUUGCGCGAUUGAAUGAGCCGAUGUCGGAUUAGCUAGUUGGCGGGGUAAGGGCCCACCAAGGCGACGAUCCGUAGCUGGUCUGAGAGGAUGAUCGGCCACACUGGAACUGAGACACGGUCCAGACUCCUACGGGAGGCAGCAGUGGGGAAUAUUGGACAAUGGGCGCAAGCCUGAUCCAGCCAUACCGCGUGGGUGAAGAAGGCCUUCGGGUUGUAAAGCCCUUUUGUUGGGAAAGAAAAGCAGCAGGUUAAUACCCCGCUGUUCUGACGGUACCCAAAGAAUAAGCACCGGCUAACUACGUG
rnacentral:rRNA from 1 species